GCGCAAUUCAAAUCUUGCGUUCUUAUUGAAACAUCAUUUUACAACGUGACUAACUAUUGUGCUCUGUUAAUUUUCUGUCUCUUUUAUAAUUUUGUAUUGUGAGGAUGACUCGGAGUCGAAAUGCGACAAAGAGGAAGUGAUGUUUUAUCCAGCAGAUUUGGGUAAAGUUGUAUUAAGAUACAAGAUUAUUUUUAAAUUCCUAAAUACAUAUGAAAAUGGCUACGGAUAUUCAUACCGGAUGUACAUCAUAUACGAAAGCCACUUUUAGGCUCUGCAGGUUACAUGAAUGGCAAAUAUAUAGAACAAAACAAAGACAUGCAAAUUUGAUUGGCAAACCAACAUAAAAUCAACAGAAGAGUUUACACAAUCUCUCUAAUUUGAUUCCUAAAACUAGACAAGCCAAUGCCCACAACUUCAAUAUUCUCAUGGUUGAUAAUAUUUAAGGUUCUUUCGACAGGGGAGUGAGUGGCAUAGUUGGUACUGUGAAAAGGCAAAGCAAAUAGUCGGUUUCGUCUCAAGAGUCUUGAGGGGACAUUGAAGCUAAUUCUAUCGUGCAUCAUCAUAAACAUGAUCGUUCGGGCCAGACAGCUGUUCAUGUAAUAGGGGGACUAUAUCAUUGAGCCAUACUCCAAUAAAGAAACCACCAAAGACAUGUACACUUUCUUACAGGUCUCGAGAUAGUUCUCUACAGUUACGCAGAACAAAACCCAGAACCCUGGAGGACCUAACCACUAUAUUAUUUAUGUGUAUAUUAAAAUUUAAAUGAUCGUCACAAUAAAUGCCAAAAUCCUUGAUUGUAUCAGAAUACUGCACAGGGCUUCCCUCUAUAUUGUAUGAUGUUACAACUUUUUUACUUCUUUUGUGAAAACUAAUAUAAUUACAUUUCUUUAUGUUUAAGAAUAAGAUAUUGUUGACACACCAAUUAUUUAGCCUAUUUAGGUCAUUCUGUAACAAAAUUUGGUCUUUGGGAGUCUGGAUUACUCUAUAAAAUUUCAGGUCACCUGCAAACAAUAAAAAGGGACUAUUUUCAAAACAUGUAGCUAUAUGAUUAAUGAAAAUGUUAAAGAGCAAUGAUGAGCAGUGUCCACCCUGAGGUACACCAGAACAUACAUUGAUAUUGCUGGACCUAGCACUACCCAAUCUAACCUGCUAAGUCCGGCCUGACAAGAAGCUUGUGAACCAGGCAACUAUAUGAUUGAAGAAACCAAACACUCUAAGUUUCUCCUGCAAGAUUCUGUGAUCGACUUUACCAAAAGCCUUGGAGAAGUCUGUAUAAAUCACAUCCAUCUGACAUCCCCUCUCCAAGGCAUCCAACAGAUCCUGCUGAUAGAUCAACAAGUUAGUGAUCGUAGAUCUGCCCGAACUAAACCCAUGCUGCUGAUUGAGCAACAGUUGCUUGCAAUAGAAAUAAAUUUGGUCGUAGAUAAGACUGUCCAACAGUUUUGGAAUGGCCAACUGGAUGCAAACGCGCCUAUAGUUGCCUAUUUGGUCAUUAUCAUCUGAUUUAAAUAUUGGUACCACAAAACUAUGCUUCCAUAAUGACGGAAAGAGUGCUGAGCCAAGGGAUUUCUGAAAAAGGAAGAAUAGAGGGCGAGAAACAGUACAGACACAUUUUUGUAAAAAAUAGUUUGGUAUCCCAUCAGGACCUGAACUAACUUUGGCCUUUAAUUUUAAAAUUUUAUCAAAAAUCAAACUAACAGACAGUUGGGAAUUAGGAAUUGUCAUAUUUUCUCCCACCUGUUGACCCAUAUAAUAAUUGUUAUUUUUAUUUAUAUUAGUAUUAUAGACAGUUGAAAAAAACUGGGCAGAACCCUCCGCUAUCUGUUAGCAACCAGAAAAUUAAUUAUCACCAUAAUACAUUGAAUUUGGAAUUUUAUUUACUGCCUUCCUACUGUUGAGGUGAUACCAAAAGCUUUUAAGGUCAGUACACAGUAAUCGGUCUAAAUUUGAAAUAUAAUCACUGUAGCAAAUAUUCGUUAAAGUUUUGCACCUCGCCCUGAGAUUAAAAAAAGUGACAUAAUCAGAUUGAUCACGAGUACUGAUGUAAUUCUUGUGAGCAAUCUUCUUCUGUGUAACUAGAUAACUAGUUCUGCUUGCUUAGCCAACUAAUUUCUGUAAGCUUAUGUGAAAUCGGGUUUGGACGAGAAAUUUUAAAGAUUAACCUAAGGCAGCUAUUGUGAACCUUUUGUACUCUGUUUCGAUCAGCAUAAUCUAAACAUGAGCUAAAGAUAGGGCUACAAAAAUUAAAAUGAGAUAAGACUAGAGACUCGCAAAGCAUGGUUUUUAUUUUUUUACUUAAGCAAUGUCUUUGUCCAUAAAUAAUUUUUAAUGAUCCAUAGGCUUUCUUUAAUAAUAAUUAAAUGUAAUCUUUGAAUCUCAGCAUUUUAUCUAAUAAAAUACCUAAACUUUUGCAACUUGUUUUAGAAGGAAUCGUAUUGCCACCAACAGAUAUACUGUGGUUACUAUAUGGAAGAUACUCCUCACCAAAGAUCAAAAAAGCUGACUUCAUAGGAUUUUUAUAGCAUGCUCCUUAGAUUUUAAAUAAAUAUUUUGUAAAUCUGAAUUAAGAUUUUUAAUUGCAUUAUACAGUAUACUCAGAUUUUUUAAAACAAACAACUAACAACAAACAAUAAACAAUUUUGGGCAAUCAGUGUUAUUAUAUAUUGUAUUAGAAUAUGUGAAUCCUUUUUUUUUCUAGAUGAUUAAAUAAUAUAUUUUUGUUUACCUCA